rnacentral:rRNA from 1 species
UACGUAGGGUGCGAGCGUUAAUCGGAAUUACUGGGCGUAAAGCGUGCGUAGGCGGUUCGUUAAGUCAGCUGUGAAAGCCCCGGGCUCAACCUGGGAACUGCGGUUGAAACUGGCGAACUAGAAUCUGGCAGAGGGGGGGUGGAAUUCCGCGUGUAGCAGUGAAAUGCGUAGAUAUGCGGAGGAACACCGAUGGCGAAGGCAAUCCCCUGGGCCUGCACUGACGCUCAUGCACGAAAGCGUGGGGAGCAAACAGG